UUCAGUUUUGUUUCGGGCUCAGCGGAGUAACAACUCUGUAAUAAUUUCGAGUAAAAAUGUUCUUAUAAAAAUGUUUUUAGUACAAAUUUGCUGUGAAAAUGUUUUAUAAAUGUUCAACUACUGAGCACUAUUGCUCAUAAUUGUGGGCUUACACAAAAUAUUGCAAAAUUGGUAAAUGGAAGUUCGCCAGCUCCGUUCAAGAAAUCGAAAACACAGAAUGUCGUCGUGAUUUGGGCACACGACGACUUCGUCACAUUACAAAUUACAACAAGGUUUACUCUUGACAAACUGACAAGCACCACACACAAUGCAAUCCACUGCACACGAAUACAAGAUAGAUCGCGUAUCCACGGGAUACUGGGAGCUGAGCGAUUCCAUUCCGAUUUUGUAGCGCUUCAGCACGAUGAGUUUUGAAUACGUCGAAUUAUAUUAUCAUAUUGGCAACACCAUUUUCCACACUCAACAAAUAGUAAGACAUUAAAUAAAGUUAUAUAGAAUACACUUAAA